CCAAACCCUAUCUCUUAUGCCGGCCCCAUCUCCUUCUCCCGCCGCCACCGAGCGACAGGCCCGUCUCCGCAUCGAGGGAUCCCCCGCAUCGAGCGUCUCCCCACCGCCCCAGGAGCUCCCCGCCGCCGGCACCAUCACCGCCUCCAAGGCCUCCCCGACGCCCGUGCCACCUCCCCGAGGGGCCUCCCCGACUCCAAGCCGUCGCCGCGCCGCGCCGCCGCCGCACCGACGGGCUCUCCGCCGCCCGCAAUGUCGCCGCCCCAAGGGGCUCCUCGGCGCCCGUGCCGCUCUGCCCUGAGGGGCUCGUCAACGCCCGCGCUGCUGCCCUGACCGGCUCCUCGACGUCCGCGUGGCCCUAGGGGUCCGCCACUGCCCUCAGCUAAUGCACGUAUUGGUGGCAAAUUUGGAGGUUCAAAGAGUGGUUACAGUGUCCCUGGAGCAGAUUCAAGUUGGUUUAUCAGUUGUUAAUAUAUAUGGUGACUCCAUAUGAUAUAUAUAUGGUGUUGGUUUAUCAGUUGUUAAUGCUUUAUCAGAGGUUUGUAUUUGCAUUUUGAACUCUUACUAGUUCUAAAAAUAAAAUAAGAGAAGUUCUAUAGUUAAAGAUGAUUUGCUGGGCGACUGCAAAGUUAGUUGAACUUGCUCUUAAGUUUGCAGAUUCAAGUUUAUCUUUUAUGAAGAUACUAUUCUGGUAGCUUCAUUUUCUCUAGUGUGCAGAGCCUUAAAAGCUCCCAAGUCUAGACAAUAAUAAUCCAGAAGUAAUAUUACAGAAGACUAAAAUAUUUUUUUCUAACAUUUUACGGCUGCUGCGAUCUGGCUUAGCUAGCUACUGGAUGACUGAAAUAUGGUAAGGACUACAAAUCCUUUGCAAUUUUCCUCUGAGGUGUAAAUGGUAGAUAAGAAAUGUUAACAACUAUUAGAACUAGUAAGAGUUGAAGUAUGAGAACUAUCAGAAUAUGAGCCUGUUUGCCAUUUACCUUGUUUAUAGACUAUCCUUCGUGAUACUUAGGAGUUUCAAUUUGUCUGUUUUAUUCAACUUGUGGCAUCCAUUUGGCAAUUUUAAACCCUUUUUGGCAUGCUAGGUUGGUGAUUUGUGAAGACUAAAGUUGGGCCACAAUGUUUCAUACUAACAUUUAGCAUAUUCUUCUGUAGGACACAUGGAAGACUAAAGUUGCAUAUCUACUGAUGGAGGGUAAUCCGAACUUCAGCAGUAGAAAAUAUUUUACUUGAUAGAAAAGAGUACAGGAAACCCAUGUAGUAUACUUAACUUUGUAAUCGCAACUUAGUAUGUUAGUUGUUAGCUGUUAUGUUCCUUGUGUGGUGAAGGUGAACAAUGAAUUUGUAAUGAGAAGCAGUAUAUGCAGUGUACUGAACUUGUAAUCUUAACUUAGUAUAGAAGAAGCUGCAAUGUUCCUUGUGUGGUGACCAAUGAAUUUGUAAUAUGAAGGCAGUAUGGAUUUGGUUGGCUUGAGAAACCAUGAUUCACUAUAUGGUCGUGAUCA